rnacentral:misc_RNA from 1 species
UCUCCGUAGGUGAACCUGCGGAGGGAUCAUUACAGAGUUCUCGCCCUCACGGGUAGAUCUCCCACCCACUGUUAUCGCUACUGUCGUUUCUUUGGCGGGCCGCCGGGUCCCCGGCCGCCGGCGCCUAGCUGCCGGCGCGCGCCCGCCAGAGGCCUUCAAACUCUGAAUGUUAGUGUCGUCUGAGUACUAUAUAAUAGUUAAAACUUUCAACAACGGAUCUCUUGGUUCUG